rnacentral:rRNA from 1 species
UACAGAGGUCUCAAGCGUUGUUCGGAUUCAUUGGGCGUAAAGGGUGCGUAGGCGGCGCGGUAAGUCGGGUGUGAAAUCUUGGAGCUUAACUCCGAAACUGCAUUCGAUACUGCCAUGCUUGAGGACUGGAGAGGAGACUGGAAUUUACGGUGUAGCGGUGAAAUGCGUAGAUAUCGUAAGGAAGACCAGUGGCGAAGGCGGGUCUCUGGACAGUUCCUGACGCUGAGGCACGAAGGCCAGGGGAGCAAACGGG